rnacentral:miRNA from 1 species
UUUCAAAUGUCUACUGAUGGA